rnacentral:rRNA from 1 species
AGUGAACGCUGGCGAUAGGCCUAACACAUGCCAGUCGAACGGCAGCACAGUAAGAGCUUGCUCUUACGGGUGGCGAGUGGCGGACGGGUGAGGAAUACAUCGGAAUCUACUUUUUCGUGGGGGAUAACGUAGGGAAACUUACGCUAAUACCGCAUACGACCUACGGGUGAAAGCAGGGGAUCUUCGGACCUUGCGCGAUUGAAUGAGCCGAUGUCGGAUUAGCUAGUUGGCGGGGUAAAGGCCCACCAAGGCGACGAUCCGUAGCUGGUCUGAGAGGAUGAUCAGCCACACUGGAACUGAGACACGGUCCAGACUCCUACGGGAGGCAGCAGUGGGGAAUAUUGGACAAUGGGCGCAAGCCUGAUCCAGCCAUACCGCGUGGGUGAAGAAGGCCUUCGGGUGGUAAAGCCCUUUUGUUGGGAAAGAAAAGCAGCAGGUUAAUACCCCGCUGCUCUGACGGUACCCAAAGAAUAAGCACCGGCUAACUUCGU